rnacentral:sRNA from 1 species
AGCUGCAAGGGUAAUCUGACUGCAAUGUCUGUCACUCCUUUGAUCAGCGGCUUGGUUUGGCUGAUCUGGCUGGCUGGGUAGGUGUCCUCUUCCUCUCUCACUACUUCCUCCAUAGGCAUUUCUCGGAAUGCUUAGUUGAGAACUUUCCUCCCCAGAGGACCGUUUCCUUGGUCAAAGGUAUAUGAGUAACUGUGCUCCCUGCUCAAACCUCCAAACAAGGUUAUCAAAAUAGAAGAUUAUUU